GGGGUUGUAGCUCAGUGAUAAGAGUGCUUGUCUAGCACACAUGAGGCACUGAGUUUGGUCCUCAGCACCA
rnacentral:tRNA from 1 species